rnacentral:lncRNA from 1 species
CUAAAACACUGUUAUUUGAUUGGUAACUGAAGGGCUUGACUCAUCAGAUGAGUAGUGAGCACAAAUACAAAAUACAAAAUCAAAAUACCCUCAAAAAGUAAUGCAGUUACUGAUUUAAACAAAAUCAAUGUUCUGUAGAAAUAUAAAGUAUUUUAAAAUUACAGAUAAACAGACUACUACAGAGAUGGACAUAUACAUUACCGGUAUAUUAAUGAAGAAAAGAGAGAAGAGAAAACAGAAAAAAGAUGAACAACUAUUUGCGAAGAUCACAGAAGUAAAAUAUGCAACGUAAGAAGAAAAC